CAUCCGAUUCAAAGAGGCUACGCAGGGAAACACCGCCUGUCCUUAAAAGGAAGUGCAAAUCAAAAUAGUGAAAGAUAUUUCACUUGAGGCAGUGCUCAUCAUGCCAUUAUGGAUUUGUUGCAGACUCUGAUGAGCUGAAGUCUGCAAGCCUGUUACAGUCUGACAAAUAGUGCUUCAGCAGAUGGUUCUGGGUUCAACAACAACAGCAGAGCAUGGUGGGGGCCCUCCUGGAGUGCACGCAUACACACCAUGGACAGCAUCUGUUUAUGAAUGGGCCGACAAUUGCCCAUCCCCCGACAGCUACAGCUGACAGAGCGAGGGGGGCACCGCGAGUCACCAAAAGCAAAAGAAAGGAUAAAGAAGAACAAGGCGGUCAGAACAGGGGGAGGGAAAGAAGAAGAGAAGAGGACAACUAAGUUGCAAUUGCAUGAUUUAUGGUUUGUUGUUUCCUUUUCUAGUGACAGGUGGUACUGAAAACUAAAAAAUACAUCAACCAAAUUCAAUCCAAGACCCUACCUAUCCUGCAUUUAAACAGCUAACAAUUAUCAGUUAUUAAAAGCAGCAUCGUACAACUUUAACUAUAAGACUUUUUCUCCUGUCAACGCCUUCCUUAACUGUCUAAAACGAAGCAGAAUAAAACAACAUGCAGUAAUUGAACAUGCUAAACCUGAUCACAUGUCUGUCUUCCCUAAUCUAGGUCACCUGAGAGAUGAUAGGUACAGGUGCUAACCACGUGCUUUCUGUUAUUGUUCUUUAAUGAGUUAGUUAAUGAACAACUAUGGUAAAUCAGGUUGGUAAUAUAAUUGCCCUUCCCUGUUGGCCUGGAUGGCUACAGAUACUUAUGAAAAACAUUUUCUUCAGUAAAUUUAGCAUGUACAAACAUGCAGUGAAAUUACAGUUGUAAAUUGACAUUCGGAGAAUGAAUUUCUGUCCAAGUUGCCCAGAGGGGAUUCAUCUAAGUGUCAGUCCAUGUAGCCAAUGUGGAAUAAUACACCAACGGCAGGCAAAUCACAAACAUGUACUCCAAAGCAAUAACAAGCAAUAGUCAACUGACUAUUUUCACAAUCAAAUGCUUGAGUCAAUUUUCAAGCAAAAAACAAAACAAAUAUUUGCUGGUACCAGAUUAUACAUGUUGAUCUUUUUUCUGCUUUUCUACAUUUUAUAUUACAGUAAAUUGAAUAUUUUGGGAUUUGGAUUAUUGGUGGGGAGAAAUUAACAAUUUGAAUGUGUCCUUCUUGGGGAAUUGCGAUGGUUAUUCUAAGGUUUUUUUUAAACAUAUAGACAUUUAAUCAAUUAAUGGAGAAAACCAUCUGCAUAUUGAAUGGAUAAUAAAAAUAAUUGUUAGUUGCUGCCCUGAACUACAUUAUAAUGUUGGACAUAAACAUCUCAUUUCAUCCACAAAACAAAUUUUAAAACUACUUUUAUCACGUUGCCUUAAUUUAAAACACAUUCCAGAUGGAAAAGGCCAGACGUCUUCACCGUUACAUACACAUCACCAGACUGAUGAAAAGGAAUCGCUUUCCAAAAAUAUCUUGUCUCUAAAUAUGGUCUUUGUUGUGUUUGAAGUGGAUAAAAUAACAAUCUGGAAAGCUGCUUCCACUAUUAAGCACAUACUUUUUGGUUUAUCCAUCUUGAGACAGGGGAACGGCUGAGAGAGGAAUAAAGAGCAGCAGACAGAUGAAAGAUGAGGAGAAUAGUUUUAAAAGGUCACUAGUGAUGUUAUGUACAACUCUGUAGCACAAUUGAUCAGCGUCCAUUUUAUGUGGCUACAAAAAAGUGUGCAAGACAAUAGUUUUAAACACUCUGGGUCACCUGUAUGUCCUGGUUAACAAAGUGAAUUUUUCUGAACCCAUCUCCCUCUGUCUUUAUUAACUUUAGGGUGUCUGCUACACUCAGUUAAGUUUAAAGUUAUUUCUACUCUGCUCUCGUGAGAUUCAGUGUAGCACAGAUUUCGCUGCCACCCACUUGCCUUUUCUGUGAACCCUUUUCUGCCGGCUGUCAAAUACAGCUGAGAGACUUUAUAAAUAAUCAAACUAUAUUUGGGUUUCUGAGGAGGUAGAGAUCAGAAAUCUGAGGCUUUAGACUGCUGCAUCCUAAGACCCUGUGGGAGUGUUUUUCACUCCCAGAAGUGAGUCAUGCAGUGAAGCCAGCAAGGUUUGUUUUUUAUAGGAGACGGAGUAUUGAUUGCAUUUGUAGCCUUGUGGAAGUAUCCCCAGACAUACACCCAAACAUAAACAGAUAGAGACGAGCAUCCACAAAAAAACACUCCAGAGUUCGUCUGUCCUCGGAGAACAAAAGCCAGAGGGUAGUCGCGUGGCUAAUCUGCAUGUAUAACACCACAUCAUUUGCAUCAAUUUGCAUUAGCAUGUUCUCACAGAGGUUUAACACUGGAGGCUCGGCUCAGGAAAGCCAUCACUCAAUUAGUGAAUGACAAAGAGUGUCUCCUCGUCCCAAACAGCCCUACAGCGAAGGCUUUGUGAGGUCGACAUUAGAAGAUGUGACAUUUCCAGCCUCGUUUCAACACUGCAGUCAAAAUCAGGCCGGUUCAUUUCAGGUUAUAGUAACUUAAGAAAGGCAAUAUGAUAUUUCUGGCUACUCAAUUUUGCUGCUAUCAGAGGAGGGUGGAAUCAAAAUAUUUCCUACAGCAAGGUUUCUGAAAAGUUUUUCUGAAUUCGAGAACAGUUAGUUAGGGCUGUCCCGAAAACCAUUUUUUGGGCUUCGAAGCUUCGGUGAGAAAUAUGCUAAGGUAUUCGAAGCAGGCUGACAUGUUUUUCCUUCUGUCUGUCUCCAUCUCCCCCGUUUCAGUGUCGCACUACUGUACACACACACGCACCUCUACACACAACAAACAGCACUCCCCGUCUGAGAUUAACUAAUAAUCAUUAAUGUUGAAUAUGAAUAAUGUUGUGGGAAUAUUCCUUAUUUCAUGGGCUAUUUGGGGAUUUAUACAUUAUUAUUACAUACUUAUAUGUA